GUUUCAGGGAGGGAUGGACCAGCUGGCCAGCAGUGCUCAAUAAUAACACUUGGGUUUAUGAUAUGCAUCUGGUGUUGAUGGAAUCUGGGGCUUUGGACACUUAAGGCUGGUCGUGUAACUGGAAUGCGCUUAGAGGACCAGGUAGCUCACGAUAAGAAACCCCUGCCACAAGCAGACCUGGGGCUUCUGGUUCUCAGGUGCUUUGCAGGUAUGCUGAUGGUGGUGAUGUGAGACCUGUACCACUCUGUGCUGAGAGGACAGAGAAGCCCGUGCCUGGGAGUGCCAGCCCCCUCUGAUGCGGCUCUCUCCUGUGGCUGUAUUAUACCCUUGACCUGUAACAAGGUGGUCUGAGUAUAAACGGAACUGUGAGUCCUUUCAGCAGUAGAACAUUUAAGGAGCAGAGCUGGGCUUCCUGUGUAAGAGGAAUCGCCAGUGAGGUCUGCUUGGGUCAUGUAACCAAGGGCUGCCUGCAGCGGGGAGGGGAAAGCGGCAGAAAGAAGGUGGAACCGUAGCCGUGCGUGCGUGCCGUGCGUGAGUGAUGAGGAGCUGCAGAUGGGUGGUAAGCGAACAUUGGAGCAGAGGUGCGCCUUCCGGGUCAGCGAAGAUCCCCACGCUGAGAAGGCACAUGGAAUGAUUGCAUUUCCUUUAUACCCAUGAAGUGGAAAUAUGUCUGUGUUACUUGUUUUGGACAAUGAAACAUAAGCAAAGUGGUUUGAGAGCUGGUUCCUGACUCUUUAAUACACUUUCUUCUGCUACAGUAAUUAGGGAAACCAGUGUUGAUAAGGUGGUGCCACAAGAUUGAAGAAGCUUGAAUUAGUAGUAGUACUUGUAGGAGAGCUGGGCUGGAAGUUUGCCCAUAUCCACAGUGAGAUGUCUAUGAGUGAACAAAAAGUAAGCUUGUAUGGUGAGAUUUGGAGCUUGUUUGUUACUCAGCAAAACAUAUCCUAUCCUGAUUACCAUGGUAGAAAGAGGACUGACUUGUGGGAAGCCUCUGUAAAAUAAAAGCAAAGGAUAAAG
ensembl:lncRNA